UACGUAGGGUGCGAGCGUUAAUCGGAAUUACUGGGCGUAAAGCGUGCGCAGGCGGUUUGUUAAGCCAGAUGUGAAAGCCCCGGGCUCAACCUGGGAACUGCGUUUGGUACUGGCAAGCUAGAGUACGGCAGAGGGGGGUGGAAUUCCACGUGUAGCAGUGAAAUGCGUAGAGAUGUGGAGGAACACCGAUGGCGAAGGCAGCCCCCUGGGCCGAUACUGACGCUGAGGUACGAAAGCGUGGGGAGCGAACAGG
rnacentral:rRNA from 1 species